UACGAAGGGUGCAAGCGUUAUUCGGAAUCAUUGGGCGUAAAGCGCGCGCAGGCGGAUCAGCAAGUCAGAUGUGAAAUCUCAGAGCUCAACUCUGAAACUGCGUCUGAAACUGCUAGUCUAGAGUGUCGGAGGGGGUAGGGGAAUUUCACGUGUAGGGGUAAAAUCCGUAGAGAUGUGAAGGAACACCGGGGGCGAAGGCGCCUACCUGGACGACUACUGACGCUGAGGCGCGAAAGCGUGGGGAGCAAAC
rnacentral:rRNA from 1 species